rnacentral:rRNA from 1 species
UACGUAGGCAGCAAGCGUUGUUCGGAGUUACUGGGCGUAAAGGGCUCGUAGGCGGCCCUCUCAGUCGGAUGUGAAAUCCCCAGGCUUAACCUGGGAACGGCAUCCGAUACUGGAGGGCUUGAAUUCGGGAGAGGGAUGCAGAAUUCCAGGUGUAGCGGUGAAAUGCGUAGAUAUCUGGAGGAAUACCGGUGGCGAAGGCGGCAUCCUGGACCGAGAUUGACGCUGAGGAGCGAAAGCUAGGGGAGCAAACGGG